GGUCAUGCUUUUCCACAGCUUUCUUGAACUUCUUUCGUAUCUUAAAUCUGUUUUCAAGAUUAAAAGUCCUAGAAGCUCAAGAAAGCUGUGGGAGAAUAUGGCAA
rnacentral:pre_miRNA from 14 species